rnacentral:tmRNA from 1 species
GGGGAUGAAUAGUUUCGACAGAAGUUUUUUGUCAAAAUAGGGCAGGUAAAACAUUCUCAAAUAAGUGCCAACUUGUUUAAGAAACCCGCGUUAGCUUUUGCUUAACGCCGUCAAGAUUACUGAUUCUCGCUAAGUAAUCUUUGGCGUGAUAAUAGCGAGAUAGAUAGUUCUUUUUUGUCUCAGAAAAACUAUCAAAACAAACGAGACUAAGGCGUUGGAAUUUUGCUUAUUACAUAUCUAACGCACUAAAAUCAAAAAUAAGCUAAGCCUGUAGAACUAUUUUGAUGAAACUUUUGGAUGCGAGUUCACCCUCGCCAUCUCCACAG